AGUUGAAAUGACGCCUCAGUUUAUGCUGUCAUAAAUAUUUUUUUCUAUUUGUAAAUCGAUGAAAUGACUCAAAAAUUAAAACCUACGUCAUCAAAAAAUUCCCCUUUAUUAAAGCUUUUUUGAUUUAUACACAUCAACCGGCCGACUGACCAGAAAUGCAAUAUAGGAAAUACCAACGCUAAAAUUGGACAGAGUUAUUCAGGAUGUACCAGAAAAGGUAAUUAUUUUAAUGCAUUGUAACUGAGACUACUAUAGCAGAUUGUAUUGUGUCUUUUCAUUCCGGGAAUAUGUUUUGAACAAAAGUAACAGUUUUAAAUCCGUUUCACAUAGGAAAAAUACAGUAACUGCUUAUCUGUUGUUCAGUUUGUCUAGAAAAGACCUGUAUCAUCGUUUCUGUGAAGAGCUGGAUUGCAUACAGUUUUGCGAAGUGCAAACAACAAGAGCGAAGAAAAUUGCCAUGAAACAAAAAGAAAAUUUAGAAGGAACAUGCAUACGAAGAAGGUGUUUUUUGUUUUUUUGAGUGGGAAUUUUCCAGGUCACGUCAAACAACCUUUUUGAUGACAAACAAACAUGGCGGACUUCUUGAGCCAACAAUUUCAAAGCAUACUACAGCUUUCUCAGUGACUUCACGAAAGAGCACCGGAAACAGGAUUCAUUAACAAAGCUAGUGUUCAAUACAUUCAAAUAUGAGAUAGACUGCAUGUCUUGCAGAUAUGCUUUCUUUUUAGCCGAGAGAGAUCAUAACAAUUAUGAACACAAUAUUGAUAAAGUCUUGAUGAAUAACAAUUACUAGUUUAUUGAACGUGCGUGGCUUAGUAUAACAUUUACCAACGAAAAAAAAGAGAAAAUGCUUCGUGUUCAUGAUCUGACUAAUAAAAAAGGGAAAACAAACAUCUUUAAAUGACAACUUUUUAGAGAGGAUAAACCUAGAUAAACAGGAAAGUUCCCUUUGAAUACAUUUUAUAUUUAUUAAUGUUUUUAUUCAGAAUACUGUUUUUGUGUGACUCAAUAACUAGGUAAUGAUGUUUUAUUAUGAAAAGAGCUGUCCCUCUUUAUUAGUAUGAACUUAACGGUAACCAAAGGUAACAAAUUUGUCAAACCUGUUUUCAGGUAAGACUUGAUAUUAUACUUAUUCUAUUUUAAUGUCUUUAUGUCUUAAUUUGCCAAUAAUAUCAAGCAUUUACUGAAAAAAAAUAUUUUUU